AAAACCCUGAUGCGCAAUGAAAGUGAAGCUAGUCUUGUACUAGUGAGGUAGGAACCGCAAGGGGCACUAUCGACCGAUCGUUCAUUCAUGAAAGAUUUGAGUAAGAGCAUAUCUGUUGGGACCCGAAAGAUGGUGAACUAUGCCUGAUCAGGGUGAAGCCAGGGGAAACUCUGGUGGAGGCUCGUAGCGAUACUGACGUGCAAAUCGUUCGUCUGAAUUGGGUAUAGGGGCGAAAGACUAAUCGAACCAUCUAGUAGCUGGUUCCCGCCGAAGUUUCCCUUAGGAUAGCUGGAACUUAUACAGUUUUAUCAGGUAAAGCUAAUGAUUAGAGGUCCUAGAGUUGAAACAACUUUAACCUAUUCUCAAACUUUAAAUAGGUAAGAAAUCUAUGCUUGCUUUAUUGAAGCUAGAUCUCGAAUGAAAGUUCUUAGUGGGCCAUUUUUGGUAAGCAGAACUGGCGAUGCGGGAUGAACCGGACGUUAAGUUAAGGUGCCAAACUAUUCGCUCAUCUAGAUACUCCUAAAAGGUGUUGGUUCAUUUAGACAGCAGGACGGUGGUCAUGGA
rnacentral:rRNA from 1 species